AGCGAACGCUGGCGGCAGGCUUAACACAUGCAAGUCGAGCGGGCGUAGCAAUACGUCAGCGGCAGACGGGGGAGUAACACGUGGGAACGUACCGUUUGGUUCGGAACAACUGAGGGAAACUUCAGCUAAUACCGGAUAAGCCCUAACGGGGAAAGAUUUAUCGCCGAAAGAUCGGCCCGCGUCUGAUUAGAUAGUUGGUGCGGUAAUGGCUCACCAAGGCGACGAGGAGUAGCUGGUCUGAGAGGAUGAUCAGCAACACUGGGACUGAGACACGGCGCAGACUCCUACGGGAGGCAGCAGUGGGGAAUAUUGGACAAUGGGGGCAACCCUGAUCCAGCCAUGCCGCGUGAGUGAUGAAGGCCCUAGGGUUGUAAAGCUCUUUUGUACGGGAAGAUAAUGACGGUACCGCAAGAAUAAGCCCCGGCUAACUUCGUGCCAGCAGCCGCCGUAA
rnacentral:rRNA from 1 species